CAAGCAGUCGCAAAGCUUAAACUGAAAUUAAGCCUGCAAAAGACCAACUGGGGAAAUUCAAUUGAAGAUUUUCUCUCUUACAGCAUUCUUUGUGACCCAAAACAAAAUCCAGAUCUAGUGCUUGACAAUGUGUAAAAUACACACAAAUCUUUAUUUUUAGAUUUUUUUUUCUGAGUUGCAACUUUACUCCUCUCCAAUCGUAACGAAGCAGAGAGUUGAAGCCAUGGCACCUAAAUCAUCAUCGAGGAAAGUCAAGCCGUCGCAAAGUCCCAGGGCUUCUGUUUUCAAAUUUUUGAAAAAUCCAAAAGUAGCCUUCGCUGUGGCUUUAAUUUUCAUGGAUGCCCUCCUUGUCGCUCUUAUCAUCGCCUAUGUUCCUUAUACAAAGAUUGAUUGGGACGCUUACAUGUCACAGGUAACUGGGUUUCUUGAAGGAGAAAGGGACUACAGCAACUUGAAAGGUGAUACUGGGCCGCUGGUAUACCCAGCUGGGUUUCUUUAUGUUUACUCUGCCAUUCAGUAUGUUACAGGAGGGGAUGUCUAUCCAGCUCAGAUCUUGUUUGGCAUUUUAUACAUCAUUAAUCUGAGUAUCAUCUUAUUCAUCUAUGUGAAGACUGAUGAGCUUCCAUGGUGGGCACUUAUCUUGCUUUGCCUUUCAAAAAGAGUGCACUCAAUCUUUGUGCUGCGUCUCUUUAAUGACUGUUUUGCAAUGACUCUUCUCCACGCUGCAUUGGCCUUGCUUCUUUGUCAACAUUGGCAUCUGGGGCUGAUUCUUUUCAGUGGGGCUGUUUCAAUAAAGAUGAAUGUACUUCUCUAUGCUCCAUCUCUAUUUCUCCUUAUGUUAAAGGCCAUGGAUGUUACUGGCGUCAUAGUGGCAUUAUCUGGUGCAGCAUUGGUGCAGAUCCUGUUGGGGCUGCCCUUCUUAGCCUCUUAUCCAAUUGCAUAUAUAUCAAGAGCAUUCAACCUUGGGCGUGUCUUCAUCCACUUCUGGUCCGUUAACUUCAAGUUCAUUCCUGAACCAUUUUUUGUAUCAAAGCAAUUUGCAGUCUCAUUGCUGCUUGCUCACCUUGGAUUGCUUGCAGCUUUUGCCCAUUACAGAUGGUGCAAACAUGAAGGAGGACUUUUUAAGUUUUUGCAUUCCAAGGUCAUAUCUAUUAGACGACCAUCUGCUAUCACAAGUUCUAGUGGUUCAUCCUUCAAGAUUCUCAAGGAAGAACAUAUUGUGACAAUGAUGUUUUCUGGGAACUUCAUUGGCAUUGUAUGUGCGCGCUCGCUGCAUUAUCAGUUCUAUUCAUGGUACUUCUAUAGCUUACCAUAUCUUUUGUGGAAAACUCCUUUCCCUACAUGGCUACGUUUGAUUCUGUUUGUAGGCGUGGAAUAUUGCUGGAAUGUUUAUCCUUCCACCAAAUUUUCAUCAGCACUACUUCUAUGUCUGCAUUUAGUUAUCCUCUGGGCUCUGUGGUCUGCUCCAUCUCAGUAUCCCUACAAGGAAGAUCAACUGUCAGCUAAAGAGAAGCACAGAUGAAGUGCAAAAUCUUCUUCAGCAGAUGCAAUCCAGGUUCCAAACAAUGUCCGACUCCAUUAUCACGACGAUUGACGGGAUGGGAACUCGCAUAAAUGAUUUGGAGCAGAGCAUAAAUGACUUGAGAGCAGAGAUGGGAGUGGAGGGUUCACCUUCUCCUUUGGCCCCAUCUAAGCAAAAGCCAUGUGAAGACAAGCAAGAAGAAGGUUCAGCUUAGAGUUGGUCAUAGUUGUUUUUGUUCUGUGGCAGACUAGUUUAAUUUCAUGAGAACCUCUUUUUCCGUUUUCAGAAAUCAAAUUUCAUUGUGCUCGUGAUCCCUGUUUCAUUGAUUCAGCGCCCAACAAAGUUGUCUACUUUUUUCUUUUUCUGAUCAUCUGAAAGUUAUCUGGAUGUCCGCUUCACAAGUUUCAUUAGAGAUCUGUUGUGACUUGCCAAAGGAAAAGAUGUGAUAUAACCCACAAUGUAAUACUACCUAAGCACUUCAUUUUUGUCCAGCUAUAUUUCUGUGGCCUGAAAUUCAAAGAUUUAUUACCAGGGAUGCUGCAAUUCUCUAUUA